rnacentral:rRNA from 1 species
CCUAGUCAGUAUCCCUGAGCAUAGAGCACUUUAGUUCAGUCCCCCGAAACUAGACGAGCUACUUCAAGACAGCCUACGUUGGGCGAACCCGUCUCUGUUGCAAAAGAGUGGGAUGAUCUUCAAGUAGAGGUGACAAACCAACCGAGCCUAGUUAUAGCUGGUUGUCUGAGAAGUGUAUUUAAGUUCAGCCUCCCGACUCCCCCCAUCCAAGACACCCAUGUCUCUCAAGACUGAGGGCGACCGAGAGAGUUAGUCAAAGAGGGUACAGCCCCUUUGAAAAAGGACACAACCUCCCCGGGAGACUAAAGAUCAAAAUUCACCUAAGGACUCUUGUUCCAGUGGGCCUAAAAGCAGCCACCUAAAAAGAAAGCGUUAAAGCUCGUACAAACUUUCCCUCCCCCAAUACCGAACCCAACUCUAAGACCCCGCCCAUUAUCAGACCCUCCCGUCAAUCGCUGGAAAGACCCUGCUAGGAUAAGUAAUAAGAGCGGAACUGCCGCUCUCCACCACACAUGUGUACAUCGUAACGGACCCGCCACCGAUGAUUAACGCCCCCCCCCCCCGAGGGAAGUGUACUGCCCCCUGAAUAUCUGGAAAAAUCGACACAACCAAUCGUUAACCCAACACAGGUGUGUGCACUAGGAAAGACUUGAAUAAAGGGAAGGAACUCGGCAAACACAAGCCUCGCCUGUUUACCAAAAACAUCGCCUCUUGCAAGACUAACGAAUAAGAGGUCCCGCCUGCCCUGUGACCAUGUGUUUAACGGCCGCGGUAUUCUGACCGUGCAAAGGUAGCGCAAUCACUUGUCUCUUAAAUGGAGACCUGUAUGAAAGGCACCACGAGGGCUUAGCUGUCUCCCCUUUAAAGUCAAUGAAAUUGAUCUCCCCGUGCAGAAGCGGGGAUGUACCCGUAAGACGAGAAGACCCUAUGGAGCUUAAGACACAAGGCGACCCAUGUCAAGCACCCUCCCCAGAGCGGAUGAACAUGAUGAGCCUCGCUGGAGUGUCUUCGGUUGGGGCGACCGCGGGGAAACACAAAACCCCCACAUGGAUUAGGGCAACUAACCCCUAGAACCUAGACCCACAGGUCGAGUCAACAGAACUUCUGACCACCAAAGAGCCGGCAGUGCCGAUCAACGGACCGAGUUACCCUAGGGAUAACAGCGCAAUCCCCUCCCAGAGCCCUUAUCGACAAGGGGGUUUACGACCUCGAUGUUGGAUCAGGACAUCCUAAUGGUGCAGCCGCUAUUAAGG